UCGAGAGUUUGAUCCUGGCUCAGAUUGAACGCUGGCGGAAUGCUUUACACAUGCAAGUCGAACGGCAGCACGGGUGCUUGCACCUGGUGGCGAGUGGCGAACGGGUGAGUAAUAUAUCGGAACGUACCUUAUCGUGGGGAUAACGCAGCGAAAGCUGCGCUAAUACCGCAUACGCCCUGAGGGGGAAAGCGGGGACCGUAAGGCCUCGCGCGAUUAGAGCGGCCGAUGUCUGAUUAGCUAGUUGGUGAGGUAAAGGCUCACCAAGCCAACGAUCUGUAGCUGGUCUGAGACGGACGACCAGCCAC
rnacentral:rRNA from 1 species